ACUCCUACGGGAGGCAGCAGUGGGGAAUCUUAGACAAUGGGGGCAAGCCCUCGAUCUAGCCAUGCCGCGUGAGUGAUGAAGGCCCUAGGGUUGUAAAGGCUUCUUUCAGCUAGGGAAGAUAAUGACGGUACCAGCAGAAGAAGCCCCGGCUAACUCCGUGCCAGCAGCCGCGGUAAUACGGAGGGGCUAGCGUUGUUCGGGAAUUACUGGGCGUAAAGCGCACGUAGGCGGAUUGGAAAGUUAGAGGUGAAAUCCCAGGGCUCAACCUUGGAACAUG
rnacentral:rRNA from 1 species